UACGGAGGGUGCGAGCGUUAAUCGGAAUUACUGGGCGUAAAGCGCGCGUAGGCGGUCUGAUCAGCCGGUUGUGAAAGCCCCGGGCUCAACCUGUGAACGGCAUCCGGAACUGUCAGGCUAGAGUGCAGGAGAGGAAGGUAGAAUUCCCGGUGUAGCGGUGAAAUGCGUAGAGAUCGGGAGGAAUUCCAGUGGCGAAGGCGGCCUUCUGGACUGACACUGACGCUGAGGUGCGAAAGCGUGGGUAGCAAACAGAAUUAGAUACCCU
rnacentral:rRNA from 1 species